rnacentral:rRNA from 1 species
GAUGAUCGCUGGCGGGCGUGCCUAACACAUGCAAGUCGAACGAGUGAGAGAUGAAACCUAGUGAUUCUCGAGCGAGUGGCGGACGGGUGAGUAACGCGUGGGUAACCUGCCUUACAGAGGGGGAUAACAGUUUGAAAAGACUGCUAAUACCGCAUAAGCACACAGUACCGCAUGGUACAGGGUGAAAAGAUUUAUCACUGUAAGAUGGACCCGCGUCUGAUUAGCCAGUUGGCAGGGUAACGGCCUACCAAAGCGACGAUCAGUAGCCGACCUGAGAGGGUGAUCGGCCACAUUGGGACUGAGACACGGCCCAAACUCCUACGGGAGGCAGCAGUGGGGGAUAUUGCACAACGGAGGAAACUCUGAUGCAGCGACGCCGCGUGAGUGAAGAAGUAUUUCGGUAUGUAAAGCUCUAUCAGCAGGGAAGAUAAUGACAGUACCUGACCAAGAAAGCCCCGGCUAACUACGUG